rnacentral:rRNA from 1 species
UACGAAGGGUGCAAGCGUUACUCGGAAUUACUGGGCGUAAAGCGUGCGUAGGUGGUUGUUUAAGUCUGUUGUGAAAGCCCUGGGCUCAACCUGGGAACUGCAGUGGAAACUGGACAACUAGAGUGUGGUAGAGGGUAGCGGAAUUCCCGGUGUAGCAGUGAAAUGCGUAGAGAUCGGGAGGAACAUCCAUGGCGAAGGCAGCUACCUGGACCAACACUGACGCUGAGGCACGAAAGCGUGGGGAGCAAACAGG